UGAGAAAUGUAAGCUCUAAAUUGUAAGAGCUUUCCCGAAUGAAUAUUUGCGAGCAAGAUACCGAUCCCUGAGGAAGAUUCGUGAGUAACAUAAUCACUCUAGACCUCUCUCUUCUCAUCUUGGUUUGGAUAU